rnacentral:rRNA from 1 species
GAGUUUGAUCAUGGCUCAGAACGUACGCUGGCGGCACGCCUAACACAUGCAAGUCGAACGAAGUAGCAAUACUUAGUGGCAGACGGGUGAGUAACAUGUAGGUAUCUGCCCUUUGGCCUGGAAUAACACGAGGAAACUUGUGCUAAUACCGGAUAAGUCUUUACGGAGAAAGCUUUAUGCACCAUUGGAUGAGCCUGCACUUGAUUAGUUUGUUGGUGGGGUAAUGGCCUACCAAGACUGUGAUCAAUAGCUGAUUUGAGAGGAUGAUCAGCCACAUUGGGACUGAGACACGGCCCAAACUCCUACGGGAGGCAGCAGUGGGGAAUCUUGCACAAUGGAGGAAACUCUGAUGCAGCGAUGCCGCGUGAGUGAAGAAGGCCCUUGGGUUGUAAAGCUCUUUCGUCGGGGAAGAAAAUGACUGUACCCGAAUAAGAAGGUCCGGCUAACUUCGUGCCAGCAGCCGCGGUAAUACGAAGGGACCUAGCGUAGUUCGGAAUUACUGGGCUUAAAGAGUUCGUAGGUGGUUGAAAGAGUUAGUGGUGAAAUCCCAGAGCUUAACUCUGGAACUGCCAUUAAAACUUUUCAGCUAGAGUAUGAUAGAGGAAAGCAGAAUUUCUAGUGUAGAGGUGAAAUUCGUAGGUAUUAGAAAGAAUACCAAUUGCGAAGGCAGCUUUCUGGAUCAUUACUGACACUGAGGAACGAAAGCAUGGGUAGCGAAGAGGAUUAGAUACCCUCGUAGUCCAUGCCGUAAACGAUGUGUGUUAGACGUUGGAAAUUUAUUUUCAGUGUCGCAGGAAACCGAUAAACACACCGCC